GACGAACGCUGGCGGCGUGCUUAACACAUGCAAGUCGAGCGGUAAGGCCCCUUCGGGGGUACACGAGCGGCGAACGGGUGAGUAACACGUGGGUGACCUGCCCUCAGCUCUGGGAUAAGCCUGGGAAACUGGGUCUAAUACCGGAUAUGACUCCAUGACGCAUGUCGUGGGGGUGGAAAGCCUUGUGCGGCUGGGGGAUGGGGCCCGCGGCCUAUCAGCUUGUUGGGUGGGGUGAUGGCCUACCAAGGCGACGACGGGUAGCCGGCCUGAGAGGGCGACCGGCCACAC
rnacentral:rRNA from 1 species